GUUAGAAUUCAUCCCUCUGGCUUAUGGUAUACACUUACAGGCCAAACCAAAGGCUAAGCAACAAAUGCCAAAACUCGGAGACAAAGUCUAGAUUCAAAAGCAAAAUCCAUGCAAGGACCCUUCCCAAACGACUCUUUACACAAAGUAAUAUGAUGUGGCAGUCCUCAUUUCAAGAACCUUAUAGAGUGUAUUUAACAGUCUUCUGUCAAUGUAUUUGUAGAGUGUAUAGAUAAUAAACGUGAGGAUGUUAUUACCAUUCUUAUAUACCAAUCAUAAGAUUUUUUUUCUGGGAGUUCUGUAAUUCUUUUUUUGUAUAUAUCUGUCUUACACUAGAAAAAUUAUUACAAUCA